CAAACUGGGAUUAGAUACCCCACUAUGCCAAACCGUAAAAUUACCCACAUCCAUAGCGCCAGGGUACUACGAGCCUAGCUUAAAACCCAAAGGACUUGACGGUGUUCCAUCCAACUAGAGGAGCUUGUCCUAUGAUCGAUAACCCACGUUAUACCCAACCAUUUUUUGCUUUUCAGCCUGUAUACCUCCGUCACAAGCUUACCGUGUGAGCGCAUAAUAGUAGGCCUAAUGGUUAAUCACCUACACCACCACGCCAGGUCAAGGUGCAGCUUAUAAAGUGGAAGAGAUGAGCUACAAUUUUUACCUUAGAACAAACAAAUGCUGAAUGAAAUACAGCUAAAAAGGUGGAUUUAGAAGUAAGUGAGGAAUAGAGAGCCUCACUAAAAUCGGCCCUGGAAUGUGUACACACCGCCCGUCACCCUC
rnacentral:rRNA from 1 species